GGAGAUGCUUGGAGGAGGGCCCGGUACCCCCAUAGGAAGUCAGAGACUACCUUCCUCAUCCCUCUCCACCCACGGGAGAAGGCACUCACUCAACCAGCCUAGAGUGUGGUAGUUGACACCUGGUACCCUGGCUUGGUGAGGGAGAGGAUGCGAUGAUACGGAAGAUGGCACAGGAAGCUCCUGAGGAGGGGCUACCUGGAAAAAGAGAAAACUAUGAUCAGAAUGGAGAAGUAUUGGGACCGGAAGCUUUAUGACCCAGAAAACCAGGGGGUUCCCGCCCUCCGUCAAGCAGGCUCUGUGGGCUGCGUCUGAGUUAGCAGAGGACUUGCUGUGCAAGAAAUCUUGGUCCCCAGCACUGCAUACAACUAGGCAUGGCAAUUCUCGAGCCGCUGACCCUCUCCGGGGACAGUGCUGUCCAUCACAGGAUGGAGAAGCUGGAACCUCCCGCAGAUGAAAGCGUCAAGCAUGGAGACAUCAAACGGGCGUACUCUGAGGCGGGUGGGAGGGUAUUAAUGUGAUUAAAGCUGUACACAGACGUA